UGCAGGUCAGUAGAUUAUGGUGCCACCUAUGAAAAGCUAAAUGACAAAGUGGGCUUGAAGACCGUCCUCAGUUACCUCUAUGUCAACCCCACCAACAAGAGGAAGAUCAUGCUUCUUAGCGAUCCUGAAAUGGAGAGCAGUAUAUUGAUCAGCUCAGAUGAAGGGACAACCUAUCAAAAGUAUCGGCUUACAUUCUACAUCCAGAGCCUUCUCUUCCACCCCAAGCAGGAGGACUGGGUGCUGG
rnacentral:lncRNA from 1 species